rnacentral:rRNA from 1 species
UGGGGAAUAUUGGACAAUGGGCGCAAGCCUGAUCCAGCCAUGCCGCGUGUGUGAAGAAGGCCUUCGGGUUGUAAAGCACUUUCAGACGUGAGGAAAGGGUGCAAGUUAAUACCUUGCAUCUGUGACGUUAGCGUCAGAAGAAGCACCGGCUAACUCCGUGCCAGCAGCCGCGGUAAUACGGAGGGUGCGAGCGUUAAUCGGAAUUACUGGGCGUAAAGGGCACGCAGGCGGUUGACUAAGUCAGAUGUGAAAGCCCAGGGCUCAACCCUGGAACUGCAUUUGAAACUGGUCGACUAGAGUCUUGUAGAGGGGGGUAGAAUUUCCAGUGUAGCGGUGAAAUGCGUAGAGAUUGGAAGGAAUACCAGUGGCGAAGGCGGCCCCCUGGACAAAGACUGACGCUCAUGUGCGAAAGCGUGGGGAGCAAACAGG